rnacentral:rRNA from 1 species
GACGAACGCUGGCGGCGUGCUUAACACAUGCAAGUCGAACGGAAGGGCCCUGCUUUUGUGGGGUGCUCGAGUGGCGAACGGGUGAGUAACACGUGAGUAACCUGCCCUUGACUUUGGGAUAACUUUAGGAAACUGGGGCUAAUACCGGAUAGGAGCUCCUGCUGCAUGGUGGGGGUUGGAAAGUUUCGGCGGUUGGGGAUGGACUCGCGGCUUAUCAGCUUGUUGGUGGGGUAGUGGCUUACCAAGGCUUUGACGGGUAGCCGGCCUGAGAGGGUGACCGGCCACAUUGGGACUGAGAUACGGCCCAGACUCCUACGGGAGGCAGCAGUGGGGAAUAUUGCACAAUGGGCGGAAGCCUGAUGCAGCAACGCCGCGUGCGGGAUGACAGCCUUCGGGUUGUAAACCGCUUUCGCCUGUGACGAAGCGUGAGUGACGGUAAUGGGUAAAGAAGCACCGGCUAACUACGUG